rnacentral:lncRNA from 1 species
UGGGGACCAUGUGUGAUUUUCUUGUUUGUUCAAAUAGCUGUACUUUUAUGGAAGCGUUCUACUUUUGGAAGAAGGGCAAACCAUGGUUCCGUGCUCUUAUCAGGAAGUGGAGACCUGGGGAUGUUUGAGGAAGGAGGAUGGGGAGGCUGUGUCCACCACCUGGGCAGAAGAAUGAAAGAUGCACAUGUGAUUCAAUUCGUUUCUUUCCAGAAUGGGGGAUAGUAGAGUUUUUGUGGACUCUCCUUUACGGUUUCAAGAGGCCCUUGAUCUGAGGAUGGGAGCUCCAAAGACGCAAAGGAGCUCCACUUCCCUGACUGCCUCCACUGGGGCAAAAGUGACAUUCAUCAGCUCCACGUGGAACUUUCCCAUGAAGCAAAUGAAUGGAGCAUGCCUUGGUCUCACCUCCAGACCAAGAAGAUUUAUAUUUGAACUUGCUACCCAGAUUUUGAAAUGAAUACUGGAGCCAGGAGGGUAUCAUGUUAAAUUCAUUGGCAGAACCAUGAGAAACUAUCACACACUUUUGCCCAUUUACAUUAAGUCCAAAUCAUCCAUCCCCAUACAAUUUUUCUCUGCUGUCCCUAUAGGAUUAAUAUAAAUCAUGGGAGAUAAUUUGCAGAGAAAGCUAUUUAAAAUUGCGGCAGAGCAGUUCAUUUGUUGCGAUAAUUCAC